rnacentral:lncRNA from 1 species
GUGAUGGGGCUUGUGUUUGUUUGGGUUUUAUGUGUCUGUUUCGUUUCAAAGCUGUAUUCUUUCCACAGCAGCAGGACAUCAGGUUUCUGUGUCCAGGGAAAAAGCUCGUCCUUGGUGAUCACCCCCGCACCCCUACGGACUGCCACACGCACAUUGACUCUGGCUCCAGGUCUCAAAAGUGGCAGAGGACACAUGCCUCCAACUCAGGCCUGGGAUGUGGACCCAGCUGAAAUCGCUGAGUGGGGAGAAUAGACUCCACCCGUCUCCCACGCGCCCCUUUACCUAUCCCCCAG